AUUGUGCAAGUUUGAAAACUGUCUCAUUCAUUUUCAAUGGACAAAAAAUGACCGGCAAUGUAAAACUAUGAACAUGUCCAUUUAUUUGAAUGGGAAUUUCCUUGAAAUGUGGGAAUUUCGGAAAAAAAAAAAUGAAUUGAUGAAAAUUAAGGUAAUACAACAGUUGUCCUAGAUCACGGGUGUCAAACUCCGGCCCGCGGGCCAAAUUUGGCCCGCCGUGUAAUUUAAUUUGGCCCUUGAGGCAAUAUCAAAUUAGCAUUAGAGCUGGUAUUAUAACACCUGCUAAUACUCAUACUUACCAACCAACCCGAUUUUCCCGGGAGACUCCCGAAUUUCAGUGCCCUUGCCGAAAAUCACCCGGGGCAACCGUUCUCCCGAAUUUCUCUCGAUUUCCACCCAAAGGCACUGCAUUCAACGUCCUCUACAACCUGUCGUCCCGUCCGCUUUUUCUCCAUACAAACAUUGUGUCGGUCCAGUCACGUACUAUAUGCGGAAUUUACACACAAAUAAGUGAAUGCAACGUAUACUUGGUCAACCGCCAUACACGUCACACUGAGGGUGUCCGUAUAAACAACUUUAACACUGUUACAAAUAUGCGCCACACUGUGAACCCACACCAAACAAGAAUGACAGCCACAUUUAGGGAGAACAUCCGCAGUGUAACCCAACAUAAACACAACAGAACAAAUACCCAGAAUCCCAUGCAGCACUAACUCUUUCGGGAUGCUACAAUAUUUGAAAAUCGAUUUCGCAUGUCACUAUAAAGUUAUACAAACCUUGCUUGUUCAAUAUUCAAUGCAACCCCAAAUCCUCCACACGACACCGCCGCUCCAGACAGGCUAACCUCCUCCAAUCUCCGAAGACAAAGCUACGAACGCUGUCCCUGACCACCUGAGGGUACCACAGACUGUCACUUGCCCUUCCUUUUGUGUCAUCAGUCUGAACUACUCAACCCCAAAUCCUUCACACGACACCGCCGCUCCAGACAGGCUAACCUCCUCCAACCUCCGAAGACAAAGCUACAAACGCUGUCCCUGACCACCUGAGGUUACCACAGACUGUGAAAGCUUUUAAAAAUGGCUUAAAAACCCUUCUUUUUAAAAAAUAUUUUUUUUUUUAGGUAUACACAUAUUAGUACUAGCUAUUGGGCUGUUCUAGUUUUUGUUUGUAUUUAUUUGUAUCAUUUUUUUUUUUUUUUUUUUUUUAAUACACUGUAGCACUUUGAGGUUGUUUGUUCAAUGUAAAGUGAGGGAUGUCUUGUUUUGGUUUUUUUUGUCUUAUGGUUUUAAUUUGAAAAGUAACUCUCCUCUCGUUUCAGGUCACUUGCCCUUCCUUUUGUGUCAUCAGUCUGAACUACUCAACCCCAAAUCCUCCACACGACACCGCCGCUCCAGACAGGCUAACCACCUCCAACCUCCGAAGACAAAGCUAAGAACGCUGUCCCUGACCACCUGAGGGUACCACAGACUGUGAAAGCUUUUAAAAAUGGCUUAAAAACCCUUCUUUUUAAAAAAAUAUUUUUUUUUUAGGUAUACACAUAUUAGUACUAGCUAUUGGGCUGUUCUAGUUUUGGUUUGUAUUUAUUUGUAUCAUUUUUUUUAAUUUAUUUUUUUUAAUACACUGUAGCACUUUGAGGUUGUUUGCUCAAUGUAAAGUGAGGGAUGUCUUGUUUUGUUUUUUUUUGUCUUAUGGUUUUAAUUUGAAAAGUAACUCUCCUCUCGUUUCAGGUCACUUGCCCUUCCUUUUGUGUCAUCAGUCUGAACUACUCAACCCCAAAUCCUCCACACGACACCGCCGCUCCAGACAGGCUAACCACCUCCAACCUCCGAAGACAAAGCUAAGAACGCUGUCCCUGACCACCUGAGGGUAUACACAUACUAGUUCUAGCUAUUGGGCUGUUCUAGUUUUGGUUUGUAUUUAUUCGUAUCAUCUUUUUAUUUAAUUUUUUUAAUACACUGUAGCACUUUGAGGUUGUUUGCUCAAUGUAAAGUGAGGGAUGUCUUGUUUUGGGUUUUUUUGUCUUAUGGUUUUAAUUUGAAAAGUAACUCUCCUCUCGUUUCAGGUCACUUGCCCUUCCUUUUGUGUCAUCAGUCUGAACUACUCAACCCCAAAUCCUCCACACGACACCGCCGCUCCAGACAGGCUAACCACCUCCAACCUCCGAAGACAAAGCUAAGAACGCUGUCCCUGACCACCUGAGGGUACCACAGACUGCGAGAGCUUUUAAAAAAGGCUUAAAAACCCUUCUUUUUAAAAAAUACUUUUUUUUUUAGGUAUACACAUACUAGUUCUAGAUAUUGGGCUGUUCUAGUUUUGGUUUGUAUUUAUUCGUAUCAUCUUUUUAUUUUAUUUUUUUAAUACACUGUAGCACUUUGAAGUUGUUUGCUCAAUGUAAAGUGUUUUUUUACGAACAAAAUCUAUUAUUAUUAUUAUUAUUAUUAUUAAAGGUGAGCAUUGUUGAUUUUAUUGAUUUGCUUGAGUGCUUUUUAGGCGUAUUUAGUCAAUCCAUGACUGCAAGCUAAUCAAUGCUAACAUGCUAAUUAGGGUAGCUGUAUGUACAUAUUGCAUCAUUUGAGCUCAUUUAAUUCCCUUUACUUACGUUCUUUUCAUUUCUAAUAGUUGUUUUAUGUCUAAUUAAAUUCAAGUUAGAGUGGAAUAGUAUAAAAAUAACUAAACACAAAUUAAAAAAAGAGAAUUGUGUUGGCCUGUCUCUGCUAACAAAGGGUGCUUAAAACAUUUUCAAAGCAGGACUAUCAGAUAAACUUUGUAUAUUGAAAGAAAAAAAAAAUGUUAGAAUGAAGUGUCGGAAAUAAACAGUUUCAGAUGUGCAUCACCCAGGAAGUCUAACCGCAGAAACAGGAAGUGGGGAAGGAACAGAACGAGACACAUGCAGCUGUCUUCCAUGCACACAAACAUGUAUAGA